UGUGUAGGCGGUUGCUUAAGUUUGGUGUGAAAUCUCCCGGCUCAACUGGGAGGGUGCGCCGAAUACUGAGUGACUCGAGUGCGGGAGAGGAGAGUGGAAUUCCUGGUGUAGCGGUGAAAUGCGUAGAUAUCAGGAGGAACACCGGUGGUGUAGACGGCUCUCUGGACCGUAACUGACGCUGAGACACGAAAGCGUGGGUAGCAAACAGGAUUAGAUACCCUGGUAGUCCCACGCCCUAAACGAUGCAUAUUUGGUGUGGGCCGUUCAGUCGGUCCGUGCCGGAGCUAACGCGUUAAAUAUGCCGCCUGGGGAGUACAGUCGCAAGGCUGAA
rnacentral:rRNA from 1 species